ACGCUGUCUGAAGUUGGAUCACGAGCUCGUCAAAGCCCUGGGCAGCUUCUGCUUCCUCUUUCUGUCCCCGGAGCCCAGCAGGUCAUCAGGCACAUAGAAGGUGCUGGUGGUCUGGGAAUGUGAACGUGAGAAGCGGCCUUGUGCCGGGAGCUGUGCUAAGUGCUGGGAGGACACCGACGACUAGGACAGAACACACUCCCUGGCCACCCAGCGUCCGCUCUGGUGGUCAAGGAGAAAAAGGGAGAGGAACAGUUGAAAGAGACAAGCCUUCAGCAGCGAUAUGAACCACAUGGGCUGGAGAGCCGGCUCCAGGCCUCGAGCCCUGACUGACCACAGG
rnacentral:lncRNA from 1 species